UGUUAAAUUACUCCAUUUCUGUUGCAGUUCCCAACUGGAAAUGCUGGGAGAAUUUGUCACCUUGCUGCAUGCAGCGGGUCCAUAGGCUGAGCGUAUCAGUUUCCACUGCUCAGCUUUGGUUCAGCCCUUAUGGGUUUCCCUGGCUCUGCAUCCUAACGAAUUGAACUUUCUUCUGUAAAGAAAGUCGGGAAAGCCAGAGGCAAGAAAAGCUGCAAUUUCUUCCUUUGGGGAAAUCUCCAAUGUAGAGUUAUAAGCAAAUAUUAAGGUUCAAAGUAGGCAACAUAAUGAGUAAGUUCAAGGACCAAGCAAGCACUUAUGUAACAUUGUGUGCUUGCAAAAUGUUUUACAACUCUAUUAUUAAUCUCUUUAAAUCUCCUGGAAGGUAACAAUGUUAUUACAUCUGUUUUAUAUGCAAGACAGGCAAAUUAAGUGGCAAAAAGGAAGAGAACUUCAGACAUUGGUUUUAAGGUUUGGAUCUAUAUCCUAAACCACACUGCUGCAGCAGGGAGAUGCAGUUCAUUCUAGACUUGGGAGUGGUGCCCAUUUGGGCCGUUGUUUCUGUGUGUUUAAAUCGUGGCUCAGUGACUUGUGUUCCAGGGAAUGACUAGCUGAACAUUAUGUCCAAUGGUCAUGAGUUCUCAAUAAAAUGUGGCCUGUGCUAUGGCCGAUAGAUUAGUGACUAACCAGGUGAUCUUUGGUUUGCUCUAGCUGGAGUCACCAUGAGACUAACAAAGGUGUGGUUUGGAAGAGUUCACACCAGUGGCUGUCCACUGCCUGUAAGCCACUUUUUCUCUGCUAUUGUGUUUCUUUCUUUCUUUUUUUUUUCUUUUCUCCACUCAUAGGAAAGCAAAUUUAUAUUAAAAAGUAAUAACAUUUCUCAAAACCCCAAAAGGGUAAAAUGUACAGGUUUUCCAUAACAGAAAAAAUGGAAAAUAACUCAGACCCCUAAUUUACAUGGUAGAGGGAGACAUGAUAAAUUAUUGCCUUCAGUUAACUUUUCUUUCAUUUACAGAGUAUCCAAAAACUGCUUUCACACCCUGAGGUGUGACCAGAAGGUAAUGAAGAGUGAUUUUUAAAAAUAAAUAUUUCAUAAGGUGCCCUGGUUUAAAUGAGAACUGUUCUUUAACAUAGUCACACUUAAACUGAUCCAAUGAUGUUGUCAUUACAAAAAAUAUUUUUAGAACUUGUCUUUUGAAUGCCUUAAAUAAGCCAUUUAUGAACUGUAAAAGAAAACAGUCUCAUGUAUUUUUAAUCAACCCCUCCCUUGAAAAGAAAUGUAUUACUCAAAUAUAUUACUGAUGCUCUUUUUAGCCUCUGUUCUCAUCAGUUUUUCUCUUCUUGUUUUCUUUCUAACAUUGAGUCUAUAAUUUUUUGAAAAGAAAUAACAAUUUGAAAUUAGUGAGGGUGUUUCACUUUAACUUUCUAUUUUGAAAUACUUUGUACUUGCAUAAAAAGUUAUGUAAAUGCUAUAGUUUCCAUAUAUCCUUCACUCAGCUUCCCUUAGUUCUCUGCUGAAUUUCUUAAUUUCUUUUUUUCCCAUUCUUUAUUUUUAUUUAUUUAUUUUUUAUUAUUUUAUUUUUUACACUCCAUAUUUUAUCCCCCGCCUCCAUCCACACUCCAACUGUUCUACAUCCCAUACCCCCUCCCCACCGCCCUGGCUCCACGUGGAUGUCCCCACCCGACCUGAUCUCUAAACUCCCUGGGGCCUCCAGUCUCUUGAGGGUUAAGUGCAUCAUCUCUGAAUGAACACAGACCUGGAAGUCCUCUACAGUAUGUGUGUCCUCAUAUCAGCUGGUGUAUGCUGUCUGUUUGAUGGUACAGUGUUUGAGAUAUCUCGGGGGUCCAGAUUAAUUGAGAUUGCUGGUCUUCCUACAGAAUCACCCUUCAUUUUCUAUGUUUUAGAAGUCUUUAUGUAUUUAUCUUACAGUUAUUUUGAAGUGUAAAAUUGUUACCGAGUAAAAUUAUCCUGAGGUGAAACACACACACACACACACACACACACACACACACACACACACACAGUACUCUGUGAAUAAGUACAAAUAUGACAUCAAUUUUACAAAAUGAGGCCAGAGAGAUGAAAUGGCUCAGCAGUUAAAAACGUGCUGUUCUCGCAUAGGACCCAAGCUUGAUUCCCAGCAGCUACACUGGGUAGCCUAUAACUUCUGCUUCCAAGAGUCUCAUGCCUCUGGCCUCAUAGGGCACCUGCCCUAUACAUCCCCUUCCAAUCCCUCUUUAAAACAAUAAAAAUGAAUGAUUAAAAAUAAAUAAAGUAUUCGUGUAUAAAAUAUAUAAAUAUUAAAAGCUGUACCUUCUCACUCUCAAUUAAAUGAGAGAUUUGUCAAUUUUAUUAAUCAAGAAUAGAUGUCUAGCCUUUUAUUUUUAUGGUGCUGAGGAUCAAGUGUAGGGUUUUGCACAUGUGAAUGCUCUACUUUUGGAUUUUAAAAAUAAUUCUCCCUUUUGUACUUUUAUUUUCCCCAUUUCAUUUUUUUCUUGUUUUUCUUUUUUAGGCCUUCCUCAUAUUAGAGGUCUGCAUGUGUUAUCUUUUCUUCUUCUAAGUUCUUGCUUCUUUUUUUUUUAAUUGUUUUUUAUUUAUUUAUUUUUUUCAAGACAGGGUUUCUCUGUAUAGCCCUGGCUGUCCUGGAACUCACUUUGUAGACCAGGCUGUACUCGAACUCAGAAUUCUGCCUGCCUCUGCCUCCCAAAUGCUGGGAUUAAAGGUGUGCGCCACCAUUGCCAGGCCAUUUUUGAUUUUUAACCUAGCCCUUACAAGACUGUACAUUUUUAGCCUUACAAGACUGUACAUUUUUUCUAAGUACCAUUGUAGCUAUACUGCCC
rnacentral:lncRNA from 1 species